UGAUCCGAGCCAUUCGGCAUGAUUGUUGUUGUUUUUUGUUUAUUUUGUCACAAUCAUUGUUUACGUUUUCGCAGUGAAUACCAUUUUUUCGUUGUGAGUGACAAUUAUUCAGAGUUGCAUUUGAAAACCAUCGGCUAACUAUCGCAUAGAAACGUGCGGUUUAGGAACAUCCAAAAUGGAUGUGGACUAACUGGGAAAUUUUCAGAACGGCAAAACCUUACGGACCAUCCCCGAAAUGGAUGGUGGAUGGUGGAUGGUCGUCAGUGUGAAGAGCCUAUAUAGCUGUUUUAGACUUAACGGGAACUGCAUAUGCAUACUUCGAGAACGUGUCAAUUACUGUCAGCAAGUAUCUAAAUCUUUUGUUUUCCUUCUAAAAGGGUAUCAUUUCAACUAAAUCGAUUUUCCACGUGUCAUUAAUUCCCUUUUGUACGAAUUUACGACGAAUAAAAUGCCUUCUAGCAGGCUUAUGUAUUUCAUUAACAACUUGUUGCUUACUCAUUUUUAAUAUAAUUUUUAUUUUUUAUUGCUAUCUUGGGAUGAUUGCUUAUCUAAAAGUGUUUGCCUAUACUCAAGAACAUCGCGUUUUAUUUGAUUACAUAUUUUUUUGGAAAUUUCAAAGCAUAAACGGGUUAAAUCUAUUUGCACAUUUCUAUCAUAAGUACCGUCUAAAUCAGCUAGGUGAACAUCAAACUUUUGUAAGGCUGCACACUUAGGAAUAAUAUUAUUAUAGUAGAGUGGUCCUAAUUCUUUUUGAUUGAAGCGUGUCCAUUUGGGUUGAAUGCUUUUGUUAAACUAAGAACUCUUAGUGAAUUGGGCUGUAUAUAAAGGAGAUAGACAUCAACGACUCAUUCAGUUUCUUACAAAAUCUCAAACCAACAUGAACACAAUCGACAGGAAUUCAAGCGUAAUAGUUGAUUUUCAAUAUCUUUUUGGAAACAAUAAACAACUUUUUAUUAAGGAAUUGGCGUUUAUGCAAACCGGAACAGUAACACCAAACUUCUUUCAUUUCAAACCACCUUAUCAUCUGAAUAAAUUGGAUAAUGAAAUGAUUAAACAACAAAAUAUUAAUCGUCAAACCAUAAAUGGAUUGGAAUGGUCAGAUGGUGAAAUAUCAUAUUUAAGUUUAGGUGAAAUACUUUCACCACUAAAAAGAUUUAGCACCGUCAUUGUACGUGGUGAAAUUAAAAAAAAGUUUUUAUUUAAGUAUUUAACAAAUAAUAUUAUAGAUAUCGAUGUAGGAAAAAGUUCCACAUUUUAUUCAAAUUUUUUUACAAUCUGUAGAAUCCACAAAAAAAUUCCUCUUAGAUGUGCUCUAAAUAAUUUAUUUAAGCUAUUUGUUAUCUUGGAAAAUUCUAACUACGCUGUCUACUGUAAUGAUGACUCAUAUGUUUAGAUUGUCAGUUUAUAUUCAACACUUGUAGUAACUAGUUGUUUAAAAUAGAUUCACUUAAGCGUUUGCUUGAAAAUGAUCCUCACAAAAGCGGAUGCACACAAGUUGUUUAUUGUAAUUAUUGCGGAUCUGAUACUCACUUAGAAAAAAACUGUCCCAAAAAGCGCGAUCAGGAGACGCGUAAUUAGAAUAUCUUAGAUGUUAGAAAACAUUUAUAAAAUAUCAAUAAAUAAAACAUAACCAAAAAUUUUUAAGCAA